ensembl:lncRNA
AGUGGAUUGGUGGAAAUAGCACGCUUAGCAGAAUUGAAGCUUUUGAGCCAUUACAUUUUUUCUUCCUCAGGCAAAUCUCACAUAUUCUUUUUAAGAUUUUAUUUGUUUAUUUGAGAGAGAACGAUUGGGGCAAAGGGGCAGAGGGAAAGGGAGAAGCAGGCUCUCCACUGAGCAGGGAGCCUGAUGUGGGGCUGGAUCCCAGGACCCCAGGAUCAUGACCUGAGCCGAAGGCAGACACUUAACUGCCUGAGCCACCCAGGUGCCCCCAAAUCUCAUAUUUUUGUAUGCAGUUGAAGGGAAGAACACAGGCAGUGCCCAUUCUGGGCCAUGGUGCCUACCAGAGAGGCUAAAUCUCCUUCUCUAGGUGUCUUAUGUAUGCUUGGAGGAUAUAAUCCAAAUUAUCUGACAUAGGGGUCUUCCUCUGAGGUCCUGCAUCCCUGGGGUGUCUGUGCUAAGUUGAAAAACAGAGGAGUCUCUAGUCAAGCCCUGAAACAAUUUUUCUAGGACUUGUCCUGAUCGUUAAACACCAGUGGGGCAGGUGAUUGUCCACUCUGUUUAUUCUCCCAGCAGCCUCAAUGACCUGGGCAGGUGAGCAUCUCUUUUAGAAACUAUAUUUCCUUUCCAUUAGGGUCUAAUGGAUUGAGCUAUGUUUCCAAAACUAACGAGAGGUCGACUUCUACACCCAGGCUUAUAAACUGAAAUGAAAAAUGUACCUGAGCCAUGAAAACUGAAAUAUUGGGCUUUUUGGAGAAACUGCUUGGCAUGUGAGGCUGGACUAGAGCUACCUCCCUAACCAGCUUGUUACAGAAGUGACUCACACCCUCACCCCACCCAGGAAUAUCCUUUGGCUGUGUAUUAAAAAUGCCAGAGAACCCCAAGCCCAGAGACAUGGCAACCAAACCCAAGCUCUUCUACUUUCGUGGCCGGGGCAGGAUGGAGUCGAUCCACUGGCUGCUGGCUGCAGCUGGAGUGGAGGUUGGUUCCUGACUGGGAAAAGGAAGGAGGGUAAUUUGGGUGGACUGGAGUGGUCCUCUUCCCCCUUCAAAAUUUAGGAGGGUGCCUUCAAGAUAGAUCCACUCUUUCCCUUUCCACCUACCUUUCUUUGUAAGAGGUGAGAGAGGGAUCAUAGGCCUCUGUUUAAGCAAGGUUGGGAGGGUGGAAGCCUAAGGAGAUGUUCUGGAAGCUUCAUAGGGGCCCAAGAAGUCCUGGUGACUCAUAAGACAAAGGAGAGAGAGGAAACCCAUAACUGGAUUAUUGUCUUCACUGGAACCAGCUAAUUUCCUGUGGUCUUUCCAGCUCUGGCCUGGCAACUCAGUCUCGUUCUACCCAUGGCUGCCAACUGGAACCCUAGGCCCAGCUGCAGUCUGGUCUCCUCUUGAGCCUUCCUCGGAAAGGUCUGCCCCACUGGGAUCUUUCCUUAAUUCUGAAUUCCUUAACCAUUGACUUUUCCAUAGAUGUUCACAAGUUAUUUGGAAGGUAUAGACUUCUUUUUCCCCAUUUUAAUGCCAUCUUCUUUUUUAAAUUAUUAACAUAUAAGAAUGCCAUCUUCUUUAAGACAAGGACUCGUGCAUGACCUUCUUUGUUUUGUUCACCUUAUCCUACCCGCAUCUCAAGGUUUAGGGGACAAAAAAAAAAUCAAUCUUUCCCACAGAAGCUUUAGGGAUUCC